rnacentral:rRNA from 1 species
UACGUAGGGGGGCAAGCGUUGUCCGGAUUUAUUGGGCGUAAAGAGCGUGUAGGCGGCUCGAUAAGUCUGCUGUGAAAGUCCAGGGCUCAACCCUGGAAGGCCGGUGGAAACUGUCGGGCUAGAGUCCGGAAGAGGCGAGUGGAAUUCCCGGUGUAGCGGUGAAAUGCGCAGAUAUCGGGGAGGAACACCAAUGGCGAAGGCAGCUCGCUGGGACGGUACUGACGCUGGAGACGCGAAAGCGUGGGGAGCAAACAGG